GAUGAACGCUAGCGGCAGGCUUAACACAUGCAAGUCGAGGGGUAGAAGGAGCUUGCUCCUUUGAGACCGGCGCACGGGUGCGUAACGCGUAUGCAAUCUACCUUUUGCAGAGGAUAGCCCAGAGAAAUUGGAUUAAUACCUCAUAGUAUGUGAGGAUGGCAUCAUUUUCACAUUAAAGUCACAACGGACAAAAGAUGAGCAUGCGUCCCAUUAGCUAGUUGGUAAGGUAACGGCUUACCAAGGCUACGAUGGGUAGGGUCC
rnacentral:rRNA from 1 species